GUCCUUUCUUCAGCAGGACAUAUUCUACAAUUGGAACGAUGCAGAGAAAAUUAGCAUGGCCCCUGUGCAAGGACGACACACACAGAUUUGUGUGUCCAUAUUUUUUU